CCAUACAUAAUUUCAUUUUAUUUUGUCCUUUCCAAUGUACAUGCAAUGAACGUCUUGUUUUCCUCGGGUGAAGCUGUUAACUCAAUUAUGCUAUACGCAUACAUACUUGCAGUACUGCACAGAUAUUCCCUCAUCAUAGUUUAAACUAAGUAUGUCAAUUUUCCAUAACCAUUCGUACGUCCGUGGGUUGAUUUUAGUUAUGUUGCAGCACAAAAUCGCAUGUGUUCUCUGAAUUCGCCGUAAGCGAGAUUAAUGUCGUUCGGAGUUCAUUCGGGUGUAUGUUCACUGUACAC